rnacentral:sRNA from 1 species
AUAUAGCCCCGAUAGCAGCGGCAUCCCACGCUUUUGGGCGUGGAUACAGCGAAUAGCGGGACAAAUU